rnacentral:rRNA from 1 species
AUGCAAGUCGAACGAAGCAUUUAGGAUUGAAGUUUUCGGAUGGAUUUCCUAUAUGACUGAGUGGCGGACGGGUGAGUAACGCGUGGGGAACCUGCCCUAUACAGGGGGAUAACAGCUGGAAACAGCUGCUAAUACCGCAUAAGCGCACAGAAUCGCAUGAUUCAGUGUGAAAAGCCCUGGCAGUAUAGGAUGGUCCCGCGUCUGAUUAGCUGGUUGGUGAGGUAACGGCUCACCAAGGCGACGAUCAGUAGCCGGCUUGAGAGAGUGAACGGCCACAUUGGGACUGAGACACGGCCCAAACUCCUACGGGAGGCAGCAGUGGGGAAUAUUGCACAAUGGGGGAAACCCUGAUGCAGCGACGCCGCGUGAGUGAAGAAGUAUUUCGGUAUGUAAAGCUCUAUCAGCAGGGAAGAAAACAGACGGUACCUGACUAAGAAGCCCCGGCUAACUACGUGCCAGCAGCCGCGGUAAUACGUAGGGGGCAAGCGUUAUCCGGAAUUACUGGGUGUAAAGGGUGCGUAGGUGGCAUGGUAAGUCAGAAGUGAAAGCCCGGGGCUUAACCCCGGGACUGCUUUUGAAACUGUCAUGCUGGAGUGCAGGAGAGGUAAGCGGAAUUCCUAGUGUAGCGGUGAAAUGCGUAGAUAUUAGGAGGAACACCAGUGGCGAAGGCGGCUUACUGGACUGUCACUGACACUGAUGCACGAA